rnacentral:rRNA from 1 species
UACGUAGGGUCCAAGCGUUGUCCGGAAUCAUUGGGCGUAAAGCGCGUGUAGGCGGUUCGGUAAGUCCGCUGUGAAAGUCGGGGGCUCAACCCUCGAAAGCCGGUGGAUACUGUCGGACUAGAGUCCGGAAGAGGCGAGUGGAAUUCCUGGUGUAGCGGUGGAAUGCGCAGAUAUCAGGAGGAACACCAACGGCGAAGGCAGCUCGCUGGGACGGUACUGACGCUGAGGCGCGAAAGCGUGGGGAGCGAACAGG